GGCUCUGGGCUCUUCCCCUCGCUCCCACCGCGUCUGCUUCUCCGCCUCCUCGUUCCCCCUCGUUUUUCCAGUGACCCCCCUGUUGGACCGCCCGCCUCGUAGGCAGCCUGCAGCCCUUCAGCUCCCUCCAAAUGUCUGGUUUAAAACAUGAUGCACAGAUGGCUCGUGCAUGCUCUAACUCUGGGAUGAUCUGGACACAUUCGCUUCAUUGCUGCAUGCAGAUUAACUCCCGAGAAUAGCGGCUGGAAUUCUGAUAUGUGGGAGCAGUAUGAAAGUCAAUUAGAAAAGGAGCCAACAAUGAUAGAGGUGGAUUCUGUUGUGGCACAGAGAAUGAGUUCAGCCAGCUUCAUGAGAAAGACUUGAUAGUUUGGUUGAAGCUGAAAUGUGACCUUAGUGUGACAGGAGAUCUCAGUUCAAAAUGCUCACUGAACUUUUCUCUGUCCUGCCUUCAACCCUCAGCCUACAUCACAGGCUUGAGCAGGACACAAGUGGAAUUCCAGUUUGAACAGCCCUCAGUUUUCUAAGCCCAAAUAAGGUAACUUAAAAUCCAAAUCUCUUAAAUUCCGGUUCAGUCAUGUAUGAGUCAAAUUUUCCAAGCUACUCAGGUGGUAUUACUUCAUUAGGUCUUGAGUCACCUGUGUCUAGGCUGUGGAUUUACAAUAAGAGCUUUAGUCCUUGUUCUGCACCCCAAUAGUGUAAGUCUGCUGUUAAUGAGGAGGGAGAUUUUCGUAUCAACUAACUAAAGGCACCUAAAGGUAUAAUUUUGAAAGCUGUUUAAACUGACGCUAGCUAUUUCAUAUCUAGAAAUGAUGUGAUCCGAAUCCUUUAAGAACUUAUUCUACCUUUUGAAAUUUUACUCAAAGGUAUUAGGGCUAGAUAUUAUCAUAGUUUAAACAAAAUAAAGCUGUUUUCUCCUUCUUUUGUCCUCA
ensembl:lncRNA